rnacentral:ncRNA from 1 species
GAGUCUUACAAAGAACAACUAGCCACUGACUUUGGCCACGAACCCUACGCCGGGAGCGGUGACGCUCCGGGUGUAGCAUCCUCCUUCGCCAAGGCUAUGGCAGGACAAGUGGGUAAGUGGAGACGCAGGCCAGCCAUCGUGCUCCGAAAUCAAAAUUCCCGUGUGCCGACCUUGUCCUGACAAGGGGAAGGCACCCUCACCUUCACCGCCACGGCAAGGUGAAGGUGGA